rnacentral:sRNA from 1 species
GACAGAGUGAGACUCUGUCUAAAAAAAAAAAAAAAAGAAUGAGAUCAGACUUGGGGGUAGGGUCCACAGAACAAGAUGCUGCAUCCCCUGAGAAAGAGAAGAUGAACCCGCCGGAACAGUAUGAGCGAAAGGUGAAUGCGUCUGUUCCAAGGGGGUUCCCUUUCCACUCAUCGGAGAUUCAGAGGGAUGAGCUGGCACCAGCUGGGACAGGGGUGUCCCGUGAGGCUGUGUCGGGUCUGCUGAUCAUGGGAGCAGGCGGAGGCUCCCUCGUGGUCCUCUCCAUGCUGCUCCUGCGCAGGAAGAAGCCCUAC